rnacentral:piRNA from 1 species
UGAAAGAGGUCGGCUGCUCAAGU